rnacentral:rRNA from 1 species
AUUGAACGCUGGCGGCAGGCUUAACACAUGCAAGUCGAGCGGAGCGAGGGUGCUUGCACCUUAGCUUAGCGGCGGACGGGUGAGUAAUGCUUAGGAAUCUGCCUAUUAGUGGGGGACAACAUUCCGAAGGAAUGCUAAUACCGCAUACGCCCUACGGGGGAAAGCAGGGGAUCUUCGGACCUUGCGCUAAUAGAUGAGCCUAAGUCGGAUUAGCUAGUUGGUGGGGUAAAGGCCUACCAAGGCGACGAUCUGUAGCGGGUCUGAGAGGAUGAUCCGCCACACUGGGACUGAGACACGGCCCAGACUCCUACGGGAGGCAGCAGUGGGGAAUAUUGGACAAUGGGCGGAAGCCUGAUCCAGCCAUGCCGCGUGUGUGAAGAAGGCCUUUUGGUUGUAAAGCACUUUAAGUGAGGAGGAGGCUACUUAGAUUAAUACUCUGGGAUAGUGGACGUUACUCGCAGAAUAAGCACCGGCUAACUCUGUGCCAGCCGCCGCGGUAA